rnacentral:rRNA from 1 species
GCUAGCGUUGUUCGGAAUCACUGGGCGUAAAGCGCACGUAGGCGGUUGUGUCAGUCAGGGGUGAAAUCCCGGAGCUCAACUUCGGAACUGCCCUUGAUACAGCACGUCUUGAGUCCGGAAGAGGUGGGUGGAAUUCCUAGUGUAGAGGUGAAAUUCGUAGAUAUUAGGAAGAACACCGGUGGCGAAGGCGGCCCACUGGUCCGGUACUGACGCUGAGGUGCGAAAGCGUGGGGAGCAAACAGG